CGCGUAAGUACCUGCCCUUAGGAUGGGGAUACCAACUGGAAACGGUUGCUAAUACCCUAUAUGCUGAGGAGUGAAAGAAUUUCGCCUAAGGAGGGGCUUGCGUCUGAUUAGCUAGUAGGUGGGGUAAUGGCUCACCUAGGCGACGAUCUCUAGCUGGUUUGAGAGGAUGAUCAGCCACACUGGGACUGAGACACGGCCCAGACUCCUACGGGAGGCAGCAGUGGGGAAUAUUGCACAAUGGGGGAAACCCUGAUGCAGCCAUGCCGCGUGUGUGAAGAAGGCCUGGUUGUAAAGCACUUU
rnacentral:rRNA from 1 species